rnacentral:rRNA from 1 species
AUUGAACGCUGGCGGCAGGCCUAACACAUGCAAGUCGAACGGAUGAAGGGAGCUUGCUCCUGGAUUCAGCGGCGGACGGGUGAGUAAUGCCUAGGAAUCUGCCUGGUAGUGGGGGAUAACGUCCGGAAACGGGCGCUAAUACCGCAUACGUCCUGAGGGAGAAAGUGGGGGAUCUUCGGACCUCACGCUAUCAGAUGAGCCUAGGUCGGAUUAGCUAGUUGGUGGGGUAAAGGCCUACCAAGGCGACGAUCCGUAACUGGUCUGAGAGGAUGAUCAGUCACACUGGAACUGAGACACGGUCCAGACUCCUACGGGAGGCAGCAGUGGGGAAUAUUGGACAAUGAGCGAAAGCCUGAUCCAGCCAUGCCGCGUGUGUGAAGAAGGUCUUCGGAUUGUAAAGCACUUUAAGUUGGGAGGAAGGGCAGUAAGUUAAUACCUUGCUGUUUUGACGUUACCAACAGAAUAAGCACCGGCUAACUUCGUG